ensembl:lncRNA
AGAAGGCAGAUAAUUUUCUUUUUUAUGCGCGUAUGGUUGUAUGUACUUGGGUUUAUGCAUGCUUGAAUCUGUAUGUACAGAAGGUGUGUGUGUGUGUGUGUGUGUGUGUGUGUGUGUGUGUGUGUAUGUAUGUAUGUAUGUAUGUGUAUGUGUGGUCCCAAGAAUGACAUGGGGGAGGGUUUUCCUCCAUAGCCCUCUCCACCUUAUGUACUGAGUGAGGGUCAAUUAUAGAACCUGGAGCUCUUUAUUUUGAUCAAUCUGGCCAUCUUGCUCCAGGGAUUUACACUUUCUGUGUGCUGGGAUUAUAGGGGGCUGCCAGGCCUAUCUGGCUUUUUAUGAGGUUUCUGGGGAUCCAACUCUGACCCUCAUAAUUGUGAGGUAGGAACUUGACCAACUGAGAUGUCUCACCAUCCCCUUCUCUUUCCUUUUGAGGCAGAUUCUCACUGUAUCCUGGGCUGUCCUGGAAUUGAGAUUUCUCCUGCUUCAGGUUGUGGUGAGAUUAUAGGUUGCUGCUCUGGCUUAGGCCAUCUGUGACCCUGGUGGUGUUUUCAUUCACUAUAAGUCCUUCCCAUCUUUAUUAACUGAGCAAGUUCAGGUUAGUAUAUUUUUUUGUGAAUAGCACUUCUCUGUUUCCAUUUUAGUAUUUUGAGACAUGGAUGAUUUUGUUUUUAAAGCUACAUGUGUGUGUACCCAUGGAGUAAGAAGGCCAGCUUAGCCCAAACUCUAGUGAAUUGUGCAUUAGUUGGGGAAUAUUUUCUGCCUGCCUACAGAGUAUAAUAUGUCCUUUAUAAGCAAGUUACUUUUAAUGGCAUUGACUUUCAAGUUUUAGACUUGAUAAAACAAGUUUUAGCCACGCUUUCUAUAUUGAACAUUGGGAAUUGUUGUGUGGCAUAGUUGGUAAUGAAAAUAAACUCACCUUAGAAACUUGUGAUGUUUUAGUAGCUUUUUUAAAACUUCUUUACACAUGAACAUUAAGUCAUAUACUAACAUCUCUACUUUUAAUGUUAAUUCUAAUAGUAUUGGCAUAUACAUUCACUACAAUUAAAACAGUUAUACUAGCUUCCAGCUUCAUUUAUGUUGUUCCUUUGUGGUUAACCCCCAUCCUUUCACCACAAUCUGUAGCAAUGUGGAUCUGUUUUCUGCCUGUAUAGUUUACUUUUUCCAAUGUGCUACUUAAAUGCAGUUAUUCAGUAUUCAGCUUUUGAAAUCUGUUUCUUUGACCUACUAUAAUGCAUUUGUAAGUUCUUCAUGUUCAUAUGUAUAUCAGUAGUAUUCUAUUGUGUGGAUUCACUAUAAUUAGUUUAUCUAUUAGUUGAUUAUUUUGAUUAUUUCAAGUUUGGGGUGAUAGUAAAGCUUCCAUUGUCAUGCAUUUGAAAAGACAACAUGACUUCAUAUUCUUUAUUAAAUUAAAUAACUUUUUUUUUUUUUUUGGUUUUUUGAGGCAGGGUUUCUCUGUGGCUUUGGAGACUGUCCUGGAACUAGCUCUUGUAGACCAGGCUGGUCUUGAACUCACAGAGAUCCACCUGCCUCUGCCUCCCGAGUGCUGGGAUUAAAGGCGUGAGCCACCAACGCCCGGCUAUAAAUUAAAUAACUUUUUGUUGUUAAAAUAGACCAUAUAAUUUAACUGUCAUCUUUCGGGGGGGGGAGGGCUGGGUUUGCAUUUUUUAAUCCCCCCCCCCAAUUCCAGUACUGGAUAUUGAAAUUAGUAGCUUGUUCAUUCUAGGCAAGGGCUUUGCCUAGUCUCCUUUUUUUGUUGUUGUGUUUUUGAGACAGGGACUUGCUACAUAGACUAGACUGGCUUUUGAACUUGGUUUUCCUGCCUCUACCAUCUAAUUGCUAGGAUUAGAAGUACAUAUCACCAUGCCUGGCACCAAAAAUAUUAUUAAAAAGUAAUUAGAAAAAAAUUUAACAGAUGUUUGAUAGGGCUAGCGGCCUGCAACUUAGGGGACAGGGAACAAAGUGCCCAUAAGAACCCUUCUCCAUUAACUUAUUUCUUCUAGUAGACCCCUGGAGGCCAGUAGUUAGACCAUACCAGGCAGUCAGGAUGGGGCACUGAUCCUGAAGGAUUCCACUGAUGACAGCUGUGUGCUGAGUACAGUCAAAAGCAUCUGGUUUCUAAAAACACCAGAGACAACCAACAGUGUGCUGAUAGUCAGCUGAUGGCUUGCUUCCCUGAAAGUUCUCCUUCCCUAUAUAAAGUUCUUUUUAAAACUCCACAAGUAAGAGCCAGCUAGCAGGAACCCAUUCUCCGUGCUUCUUCUCUCUUGGGAGGGAGCUCUGGUAAGCUCGAUGUGAGUCAGGGCACCUUUUUACCUGGUACUCAGUAAACUACUUUUGCUUUUGCACUUAUUUGCCAGUUUCAUUCACUGAACUCAAGAGACACAAUUCCACUGUUGGAAGUUUUGGUGACUAUUGAUAAUCAGGCAUCUUUACACCAAUACCAAGUCCUCCUGAAUCUUUUGAUCAAAUUCUGUCCCACUCACAGAAACCAUCUGUGGUUUACUACCUCUUAAAUUUCAUGAACCUCCCAAAUUAGCACAGCCAUUCAGGGACAAGUAUUCAAUACACAAACUUGUGGGAGACAUUUGCUCUCUAAACCUUAAUGGUGGGGCUGAGUUGGGCCUUUGAGUGAUAAAGCCUAAUGGGAGGUCCUUAGGUCAUUGUGGAUUUUAAUUAAAUCUCUGAGUAAAGUCAUCUGAGAGGGUUUUUAGAAACAGAGCAAAUCUGCCCUCCCUUCUUUAUGGCUACCUGUCUGGUCAUGUGAUUGCUCCUUUCCACAACCACUCUACCCUGACGAUAUCUGCUGUCAUGUGUGUGUCAGAAUCACUAGAACUUGUCUACUUGUAAAUAGACCUUACAGACAUAACCAGAUCACUAAAACACCAUAAAAUAGCAAAGAGAGAAUGCUCAGAUACCCACCAGCUGGGGUGCUGACUUACAAAUGUAACAUCUGCAGAUUAAUUGUGUAUGCCUUACUGCAGUGAAGAUCACCAGUGAAGAUCACUGCUUGCUGUUAGUCCCAAUCUCCCCGACUGAAUCAUAUUUAAUAUUUUUCAAUUUGAAGAGAAUAUCAGAAAGAGGAACACUUUUACAGCCAGUUAAUUCAUUUAAAGCUAAAAAGUGUGUUACCACUCUGCUUUUUUGCUGAGUUCAUAAAACAAAAUGAACAUAAGGAAUGUAGUUUCUUCUCUUUGCUCUCGGUUCUCUGUCACAUCAUUCUUGUUAUCAUAGGAUCUUAGAAAAAUUCUUACUAGAAAAUGCUAACUAUCCUGGGAGGUGGAGCAUGAUGUGAAAAUGACAGUUGUGAUUCAUUGACCCAAGUUGGACUUUCCUCAUGUUUUGAAUGGGUCAUUGAGGUAUUUUACUUGAAAUCUUUCAAUCAAUGUGGAGAGUCAUGUUAAUUAUUGCUUAGUGAUACUGUGAGCAUUGUAAAGGAACUUGUUUGGUAAUACUGCAAUUCUUAUAAUUUUUAUGUAGUCAUGCAUAGGUGUUUAAUAAUGUCUGUCUAUUGGUGGUAAGCGUCAGUACAGGUAAAAUCAAUGUCUGGAUAUAAGUUAUGAGGAAAAUCAGGUCAUUUUUUGUUUUACUUCAUGCAGUAAAAAUUCAAAACUGUAGUCUGAGGAUAGAGAUAUAUUUGAACAUAGAAUUUACUGUAAUCUUGAAGUAAUACUUGGAAAUGAAAUAUUAAAUGGACAGAAUAUAGAAAUUAAAUAAGUACUGUAAUUAUGGUAAAGUCAUAUUUUCUAUUUUUUUUCCAGUGAAAAGAGUAGGAAACACUGCCUUGCUAUUCUACUUGAGAUUGGAUUAAAAUGUUAGGGGUCUAGAGAAAUGGUCCAGUAGUAAGAACACUGGCUGCUCUUUCAGAGGACCCAGGUUCAGUUCCCAGCACUACCAUGGUGGUUUACAAGAGACUGUAAUUCCAGUUCCAGGGGAUCUGACAACCUCUUCUGACUUCCCUGGGUACCAGGUGCAUAUGUGCCACGUUUUUUGCUCUAAAAUUUUGCUUAUUAUUAAAGAAUCAAAUCCAUUCUUAUAAGACAAGUCUUUUAGCUCUCAUCUCUCUCAUCUGUUAUUUGAAAAAAAUCUUAAUUACUGCUUUAUUUUUGAAGUAUAAUACUGCAAUUCUGACUGGGUCAGUUCUCUUCUUAAUAGUUGAGGUAUUUCGUUUGUUCUUUUCUUGCUAUGUGAUUUCUGAAGGGGAAUGCUUGAUAUAAUACUGACCUGCUUUCCUGUGGUAAGGUGGCCUUUUAGUUUUUUUUAUUAUUCUCUUGUUUCUCUUUGUCUGAUUUUUGGCAGUCUUCAUCUCACAUGCCUAUAUGUAAGUCUUUUGAUAUUUAUCCUGCUUGAUGUCCUCUGUACCCUGAACUAUCACUGCAAAAUUACUUUUCUGUUACAGUGUGUUUUAUUUGUGGCAUUUCCUUUGCCUUGUUCCAUUCCCUGCUUUCCAUGUUAUUGGAUUCUCACAUCAGCAUUCUUAGCAAAUGUACUUCACAUUUCUGGUGGUAUUUCUAAAACCUCUGUCAUACCCUGGUCUGGUUGGCAGAUAGGUUAGUACCUUCCCACCCAUCCUUGCUCCUUUUCUUUCUAUUAUUUUGUGGGUUUUGCCUUAACAAUACACCUUUUACUUAUAUUGUUCAUAGACAGGAUGCAUCAGGUAAAAGAAGCUAAGGUAAUAGUAUAUGGCAUGAAGUUUUGUUUAUCUGCCAAAAAGCUUGGCUGUGUUUGCUGCAUCUGUGGCAUCAGAGGCUAACUUUGUAUUUAGAUUUUUUUUUUCCUGAGAGAAUAUUUAAAUAAUGCCUGAGGUUUAUAGUUCUUUUAGUUGUAAUCUUUGGUUGUUGCUUAGUAGUCAUGUUGAUGUGGUAAGAGGGGAGAAGGGGAAGAAGGGAAGAAGUUCUUAGGUCCUGUUAUUAGAUUUGUCUUUUGUGGGUUUGCCUGGAGCAUCUUUUCCCCAUGUCAGAAGAUAGUAGGGGCUGGAGUGGGUAUUUCCCUUCCCCGGCAUUGGUUAGAUACUGUAAAAUCCUAGAAACAGGACAGGUAAAAAAAAAAAAAAAAAAAAAAAAAACCCACUUGCUUAAGCUUUGAUAAAAUGCUUUCGUUUUUUGGAGGGAAGGCCUUUUAAGAGAACAGAGAAUGUGACACAUUUCAGAAAAGUUAGGUUUCUUCUAGUUUCUGCUAGAAAUAUAAGGGUCUUUUCUCAGACUCUAACAACCUGAUAGAGGUAUCAGAUAAAACUCAAGGAAGUAUUUACUUUGAUGGGAUUGGGUCCUCUAACAGUUUUUAAAACUUUAUUAAAUUAUUUCUUUUACUUUUGAAAUUAUAAUACAAUUAUGUCAUUUCCCCUUACUUUCCUCCCUCUAAAUCCUUCCAUAUCCCCUUCUCAUUCUCUUUCAAAUUCAUAGCCUCUGUUUUCAUUAAUUGUUGUUACACUUAUAUUCCUGAAGAAUAUAUAUGAAGCCUGCUUGCUCUGUAUAAUGUUGUAUGUGUUUUCAGGACUGAUCAUUUGGUACUGGAAAAUCAAUUGCUGUGUCCUUCCUGGGGAAGACUAUUUCUCCUGUUCUUAGUAUUUCUUAAGUUUUCUUUUCAUAGAGUUGAGGACACAUACAUACAAAUAAAUCUUUAAAAAAUGCCUUUGUUUAAAUUAAAGUCAUAAGUUGUGUGUGUGUGUGUGUGUCACUAUAAAUACCAGGUUAAAUCUCUUUAAAAGGAGUAAAUGUAAGUUAAAGCUAAAUGUUAUUUUUGUUGUAGGAUUAUUGGCUGACUAGAGACUGUCAAAGAGUAUUUUUGUGUUUUGCAUGGGGUGUGUCCUGUAGGAGGUACUCAGUAAGUAAUGAUUAAAUAAUUGUUAGUGUAUUAGCUUGGAGGUUACACAGAAGGUGGGAAUAUAGAGGAACAGUCAGUAGAGGCUUGCUUAAGCUGUUGAUUGUUGUUUAAGGACCAGAAGUCAUUAUAGACCAGUGCUGUUGAAAAUGGUAACCGAUAGCCAUGUGGGUUUAAAUUAAACAAAAAUAAAAUUACAAUACUUUGUUCUCAGUAGUCAUAUUUAAGUGCUCUGUAGUUGUAUCUAGAUAGUAUCUACCCUAUUUUUAUUUGUUUGAAGAACAGUAACGAGUUAACAUGACAAAAGGGCUGCUAAACAAUCAGCUUGUUUGUGUAGAUCCAGAAACCAGAAUUAUGUAGAACGGAAAGCCCAUUUUACUUAGGUCAAGGGACAGAGACCAGACUGUAGUCAUCUGGGCUGUGGUGAACCUGUUUGUGGAAGAUGGUAGUCUCUGGCCAUGAGAUAAGAGUGACAGAGGGAAUUCUCUCUGGCUAGUCAGUCUGAUAAACUCUGAUGUCCUUUCCUGCUAUUUGAAUGAUCUUCAGAAAAUAACACCAUUUUUCCUUUUCUGGGACAGAUUUGAGAUAAAGUCCUAGAAGAAAAGCAGGUUAAGACACCAGAGAGGUGUGACAUGUCCUUAGAACUCUUCCAGGCAUCUCAGGUUCUUAGGGACCUUUAAAGACAUCUUUAACACAUUAGUUUUCUGACUUGUGCAGGUUGCUUGAUCUGCAAUAGACACUUCUAAAUCAGUCUCAGUGUCAGCCUCAGUGUCCUUCUGACCAGCUCCUACCCCAGCUCCCCUGAAGCCUGGAGGGACAUCAGAAUAGUGGUUGGCCCAUGUGUGAAGGGUCUAAGAGUGGCAAAGGGAGGGAGCUUUGGGCCCAGACACAGUAGGCCUCAGGAGGGUGCUCUGGAACUUCUGGGGGGAAGCCCUGCUGGUGAUGAAACUAGGCUCCACAGUUGUCUUAAUCCUUAGGAAAGCUUCAAAUCCUUCAUUAGCUUUCUGCCACACUGUGGGGGUCUUCAUGCUAAUCUGCUGCAAGAUCAGUUGCUCCCAUAGCUACCAUAUGUGAUGGUGUGAGUAUAAAACCUUUCUGUAUUAUUGAUACCUUUUAUAGAUGGCUAAAUAGUAUAGUAUUUUCUAUAGAUUUUAGUGAUCCAGAUAAAUUAUAAUUUUAAACAUACAGAUUCUCUGUAAUUUUCAGUAAGAUAGUUGGACUUUGAAAUUUAUUUUGAUUCUAUUAUAUUAUAAAAGCCUUACUCUACCACUACUUUAUACUUGAUAUCUUAUAUUUUAAAAUAAUGAAUAUGAUCUAAUUUUGGGGGCCAACUAACAUUUUGGAAAUUAAUGGGGGAUUUUGAAUUGGUAACUAAAACUUAUCUUCACAGUAUUAUUAUUAUAUUUUUUAACUUAGGAGGUAAUGAGACCAGAACAACUUGAGUUCUUUAGGUUCCUAUAUAAGCAAAUAACCCAUCCUAAACAAGGAAACCAGCAACUUUAUCAGUCAGAAACCACCAGCUAACUAACUCAGGACUUACUGCUCUACAGCUCUGGCCCAAUAUGUUGGCAGUAGAGCUCUCUGGACUGAUUGUGCUUCUGUAUAUAGCCUGAUUCUUGAAUUGUUCUUUGCUCAUAAACCGUUAAUUUUGUCUUAAACUACUCCCCCUCCCUUUAGAACAUGAAUUCUGCCAACUGAGUGUAAGAAUUUAGUAGGGAAAUACUCUUUAAGGCCUUUACUAUCAUUUUGGAUAUACAAGGUCUUUUUAAAACAUUAGCUUUUAAUAUGUUCUGGUUAAAUGUGAUAAUGUAUUUGUCCAUAGAGUGUCAGGUUCACAAAAGUUACUCAGUAGGUUAUAGUUCCCUUUAUACAUGUUUUCAUUCUUUGGGAUCAUGGUCCACAAAUUGGUGAUCAUACAAAGUUCUAUGAGGAGCUUUUAAAGCCUACAGGUACCAAUAACAUAUGUUUAUACAUAUGUAAAUGCACAGAAAGAAUUUUUUGUUUUUCCAAUGCAUUACCAUUCUGAGAUAUAAUUACUGCCUUAGAAGAUUUUACUAUUUUUGAAACUUAGAUUCAUAGAAAUAGGUCGUCUUCAGAAAGGAGCAUGAAUCCACACAAUGUAUGUUUCCUCACAUUUUCUUGAACAGUGGUAUUCUUGGGCAUCUAAUAGUCUCAUUUGAUGGAAAAUAGUUCUUUAUAUUUCUUUGAUGUGGGGUGUGUGUGUGUUUGUGUGUUUAUGUAUGUAUCUGUGUGUGUAAUGAAAAUUGGAUGGACCACUCAAAGAUGAGUUCAAUUAUUUUUGCAUCAUUUGUUGAAAUAGAUUUGUUGUUAAAAGUCUUGAUGUUGGGUGUGGUUGCUGGCUCUGGUAAAUCACAGCACUUGGGAAACAGAAUUACCAAUAAAUCAUAGCACUUCAGAAAUGAGGCAGGAGGGUUACAAGUUCGAGGCUAGUCUGGGUGCACAUUGAGACCCUGCUCACAAGUCUCUGGGUCUGUUGCUGAGUUUUUGUUACAUUGGCAUUUUGUGUAUCUUGGUGCUUCUACCAUACUGGUCACUUUGACUCUGUGAGUUAUGGAAUGAGGUCAUGUUAACCCAUCCAACUUGUUCUUUUUCAUUUUUAUUUUGCCUAUUGUACUGCUUAUUGGUAUUUUGUUCCAAUGAAUCUUUUUUUCCUUUGCUGUUUGAAAACAGAUCAGACCCUUUAAAUACUGUUCUUUUGUCAUAGCAUCCAGUGCUUACCUUAGGCUAGAAAGAAUUCUGGAUAACACUACUGAUAAUUUUUUCCUCUUGUAUCAUGUGUGCUUGCUUGGCUCACUCCAUCAACAUAUUUAUUUUCCUUAGUCCUCAUGGCUUCUUCAGUAGUGUACACUUUUCUGCAGAAUGCUGAGAAGUACCAGGCUCCGGCAGUGCUCAGAGGCAGGCGAACCCCAGCAACCAGAGACCUGAUACUGGCUGCUUGUUCUUGUUUGUAGCAUAGAAUCUUGUUGGGACAUCAACUCCAUAAAGAAUGGAUUUCUGUCUGUUUCUAGGAAGUCACAGUGACAGAACUCUAGAGCAGCUUUUCAGCCAUUCAGUGGAUGGCACCAUGUUUUCUUCAGUAGGAUCUAGAUCUCAGCCUUGGGGUGGUUAAGGGUUGGAAGAAGCUCUUAACUGGCUCAGGCCUAAGUGGGUAUUGGCUUCUCCUGCAUUACAGCCCUUUUUAUUUCUCAUUAGUUAAUUGACUGUUCCCCAAACCCUGUUAAAGUUAAUGAUCUCUUAUAUUAAACUUUCCCUUUUCAAAUUCCUGGGUGGCUUCUCUCUUUUAGUAGAUUUUGCAUUUCCAUAUGAAUUUUAGAAACAUUUUGUAAAAUGCCUAUUGAAACUUUAAUUGGAAUUACAUUGUAUUUAGAAAGAUUUGGAGAGAAUUGACACCAUAGCAAUAUUGAGUCUGCUGACCCUUGGAUAAGGUCAGAGUAAUUUAGAUAAUUAGUUUCUAUCAAUAGUGUUUUCUGGUUUUCAAUACUGCUGAUUUUUCUGUUUUACUAUAUUUGAUAUUAUAUUUGGCAUCUUUCCUCCUGUUUUAUUUGUAUAUGUAGUUUGUGUGGCUUUUUCUUGCCCCCAAAUUACUAAUUUUGUCUUUAAUGUCUUAUCUGUUAAUUCUGUGUAGUAUACUUUUCAUCUCAGAUUAUAGUUUCCAUCACUAUAGUUAAGAUAUAUAUUUCAUAUCUUCCAUGUUUCACUUGAGAUUUUUGAGUAUGUAAAAUAUAUUAAAACAACUUUUAAGAUCCUUGGCCCUAAUUCUAACAUCUGUUUUGGUAAAUUGUUUUCUUCAUUAUGAUUCAUGAUCUUCCGCCUCUUUGUGUACCUAGUAAUUCCCCAGACUGAUUUUUUCCACCAGACAAGCCUUAAUCUUCUAGGCCAAGCUGAUUUUUCUUCCUCAGUCUCCCGAGUGUUGGGACUACAGGCAUGUUCACUGUGCCCAGCUCUGGUAAUAUUUGAUUGGAUGAUAGAUAACUGUAAAUUUUACCUUUAUAUUUUGUAUUAGGAAAUUUUUUAGUUGCCUUGGUUGUAGUUGUUUGGAGACAGUUUGAAUCUUGUUUUAUAUUUCAUCCAAUGGCUUAGAGCAGGGUUUUCUAGGGCUAGUCUUCUCACUUACUGAGACAAGACCCUCCUAAGUACUCCACGCAGUGUCCCUUGCUAGCUUGGCUGGUGGAACAGACUGUGUUCCUUACUCUGUAUGAUUGUCAGGCACUAAUCUGUACCUCUUUCAGGUUGUUCCUUUCUUAGCUUACACAGUCAUUACUGUGCCAAAUAUUUGAGACAUGGUUUUGCAAACCUCUCUUUUUUUACUUUUUGUUGUAACUUUCUUUCCGGAUAGAUGCCUGAUCUUCUGUUUCACCACCUGGACUGAGUUCAGCAACUCACCUUGUUCAUUUUUGAGUCUGUGCAGUCUCUAGAGGUGGAGAGCUGGGGCAAUGCUACGAUUUUGUUUGUUCUGUUUUCUGUCUCUCUACAGGAGGGGUUCUUAACCUGUGGGUAGUGAUCCUUUUGAGAUUGAAUGACCCUUUCACAGGGGUUGCCUAAGUCCAUCAGAAAAAUACAGGUAUUUACCUUACAAUUUAUAACAGUAGCCAGAUUUCAGUUAUGAAGUAGCAGUGAAAAUAAUUUUAUGGUUUGGGGUCCCCACAACAUGAGGAACUCUAUUAAAGGGUUGCAGCAUCAGGAAGGUUGAGAACCACAGCUCUAAAUCAUUGUUCUUUAUUGCUUGUUGUCUAGUUUCUUGAAAACCGUUGUUUCCCAUAAUUUGUCUGCCUUCUUUUGUUUGUUUCAAGUGAGAAGACACAUCUGUUUCCUGUUUGUACAUUUUGACUUCUGUCCUUUUAUUUUAAAAUCCCAGUAGUUUUGGUGGUUAAAAUAAUUCUGGUUUGAGAGUUACCAUUUCUUUAUGCUUUAUCCCUAGGAUAAUUCAAGUAUCUAUUAUUGUACACAAUUUGUAAUGGCAACUUAAAAAAAAAAUCUCUUCCAUGAAGCCAUUAGCCUGCUCAUAUAGAGCCAAGGUUUAGGUUUUUUUUGUUUUGUUUUGUUUUGUUUUUUGUUUUUGCCAGAGUUAUUCCCAAUACCAUUUCUAAAUUUUUAUAAAAAGGACAUGCUGUAUACCAAUGGAAUAUAAUUAUUGAACUGUGAUAUAAAGAAUAAUGAACUGGAAACUGUCUAGGGAACAAUCCUGGUUAAACUUGAUGGUUGUUUGACUGUGAAGUUAGAUUCAUCAUGACUACAUUAAAGGCAUCUAUAGGAUAUUUAAUUUUUAUUUGUGAAUAUUUGGGGAGAGGUAGAAUCAGAAAAAUAUGUGAAGAAUAUACUUAUAGUACAGUCACUGAAUUUUAUAUUUAAAUAAUUUUUUUUUGAAGCAGGGUCAUGCUCUGUAGCUCAGUCUGGCCUGAAACUUACUAUGUUGCCCAAACAAUCCUACCUUAGUCUUUCAAGUGCUGGAAUUAAAGCAUGAGCCAUCAGGCUUUCUGAAAGAUUAAAAAAAGUAAGUAAGUAGACUUAGGAAAACUGAUACUCUAAAAAUUGCAGUUGUUUCUUAUAGACCA